rnacentral:rRNA from 1 species
UACGUAGGUGGCGAGCGUUGUUCGGAAUAACUGGGCGUAAAGGAUGCGUAGGCGGUUAAACAAGUUAUAUGUUAAAUAUAUAGGCUUAACCUGUAGAAAGCAUAUAAAACUGUUUAACUAGAGUGCAGGAGAGGUAAGUGGAAUUCCUAGUGUAGCGGUGAAAUGCGUAGAGAUUAGGAAGAACACCGGUGGCGAAGGCGACUUACUGGACUGUAACUGACGCUGAGGCAUGAGAGCAUGGGGAGCAAACAGG